rnacentral:rRNA from 1 species
GUGGGGAAUAUUGGGCAAUGGGGGAAACCCUGACCCAGCGACGCCGCGUGAGGGAAGACGGCCUUCGGGUUGUAAACCUCUUUUGUACGGGAAGAAGGAAGUGACGGUACUGUACGAAUAAGUCCCGGCUAACUACGUGCCAGCAGCCGCGGUAAUACGUAGGGGACGAGCGUUGUCCGGAAUUACUGGGCGUAAAGGGCGCGCAGGCUGUGCUGCAAGUCAGCUGUGAAAUGUCUGGGCUUAACCCGGGCAUGCGGUUGAGACUGCAGUGCUGGAGUGCUGUAGAGGAAAGUGGAAUUCCCAGUGUAGCGGUGAAAUGCGUAGAUAUUGGGAAGAACACCGGUGGCGAAGGCGACUUGCUGGGCAGCAACUGACGCUGAGGCGCGAAAGCCAGGGGAGCAAACGGGAUUAGAAACCCCUGUAGUCC